CAAUAGCGUAUAUUAAAGCUGUUGCGGUUAAAAAGCUCGUAGUUGGAUUUCUGUCAAGGACAACUGGUCCGCCCUCCGGGUGAGCACAUAGUUUGGUCUUGGCAUCUUGCUGGAAACUGUUGCUGCGCUUGGUUGUGUGGUGCAGCUUUCAGCACUUUCACUUUGAGGAAAUUGAAGUGUUUCAAGCAGGCACAUGCCUUUGGACACAGUAGCAUGGAAUAAUUAGAUUGGGCUUUUGCUCCAACUUGUUGGUUCCUGGAGCUGAGGUGAGAAUCAAUGGGGAUUGUUGGGGGCAUCCGAAUUUAGCCGUCAGAGGUGAAAUUCUUGGAUCUGCUAAAGACGGACAACUGCGAAAGCGUUUGCCCAGGAUGUUUUCAUUGA
rnacentral:rRNA from 1 species